rnacentral:rRNA from 1 species
UACGUAGGUGGCAAGCGUUAUCCGGAAUUAUUGGGCGUAAAGAGCGCGCAGGUGGUUAAUUAAGUCUGAUGUGAAAGCCCACGGCUUAACCGUGGAGGGUCAUUGGAUACUGGUUGACUUGAGUGCAGAAGAGGGAAGUGGAAUUCCAUGUGUAGCGGUGAAAUGCGUAGAGAUAUGGAGGAACACCAGUGGCGAAGGCGGCUUCCUGGUCUGCAACUGACACUGAGGCGCGAAAGCGUGGGGAGCAAACAGG